rnacentral:tRNA from 1 species
UCCCUGGUGGUCCAGUGGCUAGGACUCCAUGCUUCCACUGCAGGGGGGACAUGGGUUCGAUACCCAAUCAGGGAA